CGUUGUGUGUUUGUUUGUUUGUUUGUGUGUUUGUUUGUUUGUUUGUUUUAAAUUGCAAACGCUCAGCUGUGCACAUAAAAGAGAGGCUGACACGGUAGAACAUGUUAACGUCGGGUGAAUAAAGAGGAUCCCUAUUGAUCCUAAUCUGAGCUGUCAGCCUCCUGUUCCCUGCAAUCAACAAGUCAACGAUAAUCUGGUGUGAAAGGGCUCUCUCUCUGUCUCUCUCUGUCUCUCUCUCCCACCCUUUCUUUCUCGUUCUCUCUUUGCUGCAAACACAGAGACUUUUUUACAUCCUGCUCUUCCACAAAUUGCCGAGCCUCUGAAGAGGCCGGAGGCAGUGAGAGAAGAAGAAGAAAUUGAUUCAAAGCUGAGACGUACUCUGGUGAAAUGAAGCUGUCGUCCCCGUCAGCUGAACCUCAGAAACACCGCACCUGAAAUCAAUCUGCUGCAAUCAAGCAGCCGAGUAGUUCAAGUCGACCUCCGUCAGUGGCAUUCACCGGUCUGUGGAACAAGUGGAGCUUAUUUUAGCCAUGAACUGUUUGAACAUGAACUCAAAUCUCUGUUCCAUUUGCACUGCUGUUCAAUAUAUCAUCAUCAUCUGCUGCAGUUCAUCAUUUAAACCAGCCGUUGGUGCUGGUGAGACACUGUUGGACUCAGAACCUGACACCACAUGAUCACUGACGGAUGUUUCCCACCUGGUGAGGCCGCGGCAGACACCGCUCCUCCCUUCAUUUGGAUCAUUAAUCUACACGCGCUCAAACAAACAACAAACAAAUCACAAAAGUCAGAUUGAUGCUGCUGUCUUGGCGCCGCCCUUGUGGAACUCAAAGUGAGAUAAACGGUGUUUGCGAAGGAAAAACAAACAAACAAUAGGUUAGCAUUACGGCAGACGCACGUGGUUUAAUGGAGUCGCGGCCGUGACUGUUCAGCUCGUGAUGAGCUCAAGUUUUUCAAUUGCCAAAGGGGAAAAAAAAACCCCAAAUUUUUUCAUUUAAAACUUCCCUCCAAGGACUUUCAGAGACUGUAUUUCCGCAGCCUCGUACUGUGUUGUCAUUAACUGUCGUCUCCUUUCGUGCCUGCGGUUGCUGCUGACACCAGCCGCGGCUGUUGCCGGGGGCCGUACCGUUCAGGCUAUCAAUAGCUUUUAGGUGAUUUGUCUUUAUGCCCAGUGUCUCUUCAGGUUUUGUGUUGCCAUGGGCAGCUUUGCAUUCAUUCGGACAUCCUUGCGUCAUGGUCAAUUGACAGCGAUUUCUGACAAUUAUCCACAAUGUAGCCUGAUGCGCACCGAGAAUAGCAUCUGUUCAGAAAAAUAAAAUACAGUAGACGACGUACGUCUCUACAUUUCACUACUUUUUGUAA